rnacentral:rRNA from 1 species
CCUACGGGAGGCAGCAGUGGGGAAUAUUGGACAAUGGGCGAAAGCCUGAUCCAGCAAUGCCGCGUGAGUGAUGAAGGCCUUCGGGUCGUAAAGCUCUUUUACCAGGGAUGAUAAUGACAGUACCUGGAGAAUAAGCUCCGGCUAACUCCGUGCCAGCAGCCGCGGUAAUACGGAGGGAGCUAGCGUUGUUCGGAAUUACUGGGCGUAAAGAGUACGUAGGCGGUUAUUCAAGUCAGAGGUGAAAGCCCGGGGCUCAACCCCGGAACUGCCUUUGAAACUAGAUAACUAGAGUCUUGGAGAGGUUAGUGGAAUUCCGAGUGUAGAGGUGAAAUUCGUAGAUAUUCGGAAGAACACCAGUGGCGAAGGCGACUAACUGGACAAGUACUGACGCUGAGGUACGAAAGCGUGGGGAGCAAACAGGAUUAGAUACCCUGGUAGUCCACGCCGUAAACGAUGAUAACUAGUUGUUCGGUCACUUGGUGACUGAGUGACGCAGCUAACGCAUUAAGUAUCGCCUGGGGNGUGUGNANAUAAUANANANAUNAGNNGNGANGCGAGCGACACGAGGAGAG